rfam:Picea glauca, whole genome shotgun sequence.
GGGUGUGAUCAUACCAGUGUUAGUGCAUCAAAUCCCAUUAGGACUCAGCAACUGAGCACACUUGGGAUAGAGUAGUAUUGGGAUGGGUGACCUCCCGAGAAGUCCUAGUGUUACACCCU